rnacentral:rRNA from 1 species
CCUACGGGGGGCAGCAGUGGGGAAUAUUGCAUAAUGGGGGAAACCCUGAUGCAGCGACGCCGCGUGAGUGAAGAAGUAAUUCGUUACGUAAAGCUCUAUCAGCAGGGAAGACACACUGACCUUACGGUCAGCAGACGGUACCUGAGUAAGAAGCCCCGGCUAACUACGUGCCAGCAGCCGCGGUAAUACGGAGGGGGCAAGCGUUAUCCGGAUUUACUGGGUGUAAAGGGAGCGUAGAAGGUGUGUCAAGUCUGGAGUGAAAUGCCGCAGCUUAACUGCGGAACUGCUUUGGAAACUGGCGGACGAGAGUGCGGGAGGGGUAAGCGGAAUUCGUAGUGUAGCGGUGAAAUGCGUAGAUAUUAGGAGGAACACCGGUGGCGAAGGCGGCUUACUGGACCGUAACUGACGUUGAGGCUCGAAAGCGUGGGGAGCAAACAGGAUUAGAUACCCCUGUAGUC